rnacentral:rRNA from 1 species
UACAGAGGUCUCAAGCGUUGUUCGGAUUCAUUGGGCGUAAAGGGUGCGUAGGCGGCGCGGUAAGUCGGGUGUGAAAUCUCGGAGCUUAACUCCGAAACUGCAUUCGAUACUGCCGUGCUUGAGGACUGGAGAGGAGACUGGAAUUUACGGUGUAGCGGUGAAAUGCGUAGAUAUCGUAAGGAAGACCAGUGGCGAAGGCGGGUCUCUGGACAGUUCCUGACGCUGAGGCACGAAUGUCAGGGGAGCAAACGGG